UUGGGAGCUCUCCCAUAUGGUCGACCUGCAGGCGGCCGCGAAUUCACUAGUGAUUAGAGUUUGAUCAUGGCUCAGAGCGAACGCUGGCGGCAGGCCUAACACAUGCAAGUCGAGCGCCCCGCAAGGGGAGCGGCAGACGGGAGAGUAACACGUGGGAACAUGCCCUUCAGUUCGGAACAACCAAGGGAAACUUUGGCUAAUACCGGAUACGCCCUUACGGGGAAAGAUUUAUCGCUGAAGGAUUGGCCCGCGUCUGAUUAGCUAGUUGGUGAGGUAACGGCCCACCAAGGCUACGAUCAGUAGCUGGUCUGAGAGGAUGAUCAGCCUCACUGGGACUGAGACACGGCCCAGACUCCUACGGGAGGCAGCAGUGGGGAAUAUUGGACAAUGGGCGCAAGCCUGAUCCAGCCAUGCCGCGUGGAUGAUGAAGGCCCUAGGGUUGUAAAGUCCUUUUAACGGGGAAGAUAAUGACGGUACCCGUAGAAUAAGCCCCGGCUAACUUCGUGCCAGCAGCCGCGGUAAUACGAAUCGAAUUCCCGCGGCCGCCAUGGCGGCCGGAAGCAUGCGAC
rnacentral:rRNA from 1 species